GCCGGACAUGGUGGCACAUGCCUGUAAUCCCAGCUACUUGGGAGGCUGAGGCAGGAGAAUCGCUUGAACCCAGGAAGCGGAGGUUGUGGUAAGCCGAGAUCACGCCACUGCACUCCAGUCUGGGAGUGCACUCCAACAAGGAGUUUCGCUCUUUUUGCCCAGGCUGGAGUGCAGUGGCGGGAUCUCAGCUCACCGCAACCUCCACCUCCCGGGUUCAGGUGAUUCUCCUGCUUCAG
rnacentral:sRNA from 1 species